rnacentral:lncRNA from 1 species
AAUUUGGAAAGAAACUACACAACGAAUAAGAGACGAUGCUUGACAACUUUAAGCCAGCCAAAGUGCUUCACAAAGGUCAUUGGCAUCCACAAUGACCACCCGAUUGCCCAUAAUAACUUCAAUCCCCUGUUCCCCCUGAAUGAUAAUGUUGCAUGCUCCAAAAAUUUACAUCCGGCAUCCGAUCACAUGCAAGAGAUCAAUGAGGAUCAGCGAGAACGUCAUUUGUUACUAUUGGUGCAGACUUGUAUUUCAGUAAAUAGUGCAAUUUGGCUAGUAUUCCAUUGUUGUAAUAUUUUUUAUUGGAGCGAGAGAGAGAGAGAAUCUACA